AUAAUACCCGAUAGGUCUCGAUUGCUGGAAUGCAUCGAGAUUUAAAGCUCCGGCGCCUAAGGAUGGGUCUGCGGCCUAUCAGGUAGUAGUGGGUGUAGCGUACCUACUAGCCUACGACGGGUACGGGUUGUGAGAGCAAGAGCCCGGAGAUGGAUUCUGAGACACGAAUCCAGGCCCUACGGGGUGCAGCAGGCGCGAAAACUUUACAAUGCUGGCAACAGCGAUAAGGGAACCUCGAGUGCCAGGUUACAAAUCUGGCUGUCGAGAUGCCUAAAAAGCAUUUCAUAGCAAGGGCCGGGCAAGACCGGUGCCAGCCGCCGCGGUAACACCGGCGGCUCGAGUGGUAACCGUUAUUAUUGGGUCUAAAGGGUCUGUAGCCGGCCGGAUAAGUCUCUUGAGAAAUCUGGCAGCUUAACUGUCAGGCUUUCAGGAGAUACUGUCUGGCUCGAGGCCGGGAGAGGUGAGAGGUACUUCAGGGGUAGGGGUGAAAUCUUGUAAUCCUUGAAGGACCACCAGUGGCGAAGGCGUCUCACCAGAACGGACCUGACGGCAAGGGACGAAAGCUAGGGGCACGAACCGGAUUAGAUACCCGGGUAGUCCUAGCCGUAAACGAUACUCGCUAGGUGU
rnacentral:rRNA from 1 species